AGAGUUUGAUCAUGGCUCAGAACGAACGUUGGCGGCGUGGAUUAGGCAUGCAAGUCGAGCGAAUCUCAGGGGGGUAACUCUCUGGGGGAAGCGGCGAAAGGGGCAGUAAGGCGUGGGUAACGUACCCCCUGGUCUGGGAUAGCCGCGGGAAACUGCGGGUAAUACCGGGCGAAGUGGUCUGAGGACAUCCUCGGGCCACCAAAGGUCCGCCGCCGGGGGAGCGGCUCACGUGGUAUUAGCUAGUUGGUGGGGUAAUGGCCCACCAAGGCUAAGAUGCCUAGCUGGUGUGAGAGCAUGACCAGCGCCACUGGCACUGAGACACUGGCUAGACACCUACGGGUGGCUGCAGUCGAGGAUUUUCCGCAAUGGGCGCAAGCCGGACGGAGCGACGCCGCGGGCGGGACGAAGGCCUUCGGGUUGUAAACCGCUGUCGAGGGGGAGGAAGCCGCAAGGUUGACCUAUCCCUGGAGGAAGCACGGGCUAAGUUCGUGCCAGCAGCCGCGGUAAUUC
rnacentral:rRNA from 1 species